rfam:Lactobacillus collinoides DSM 20515 = JCM 1123 strain DSM 20515 NODE_68, whole genome shotgun sequence.
GGGGUCGUUAAGGAUUCGACAGGUAUAGGUUGAGCCUAGAUUGCGUUUCGUAGUGAGGAACUACGCUAAAAGCCUCAACCUUUUUUAACUGCAAAUAACAGUUCAAAAUCUCUUGCAUUAGCUGCCUAAAUAGCGCUAUACAAGGAUCCGUCUGACUUCGUCCAUGAGUCGGGUAGCGGGUCUUACCUUUAGUGGACUUACGCCAGAAGCUCACGUCUGAAGUAACUGGAAGAGUCUAAUCAGACUAGCACGUUGAGUUAGCCCUGACAGGCGGCGCGUCAGCGUGUGAAACUUAAGUAGUCUGCCUAUGAACGUAGAUAUUUGGGUGGCAAUAUGCUUGGACGCGGGUUCGACUCCCGCCGACUCCAUUG